GUUGCUAGGUGUGGCUUUUUUUUUUUUUCCACCGUCCUUAUAAAAUCACAAGCCCAGGGCUGCAUUCUUCUGCUUAGCUCUUCAGACAUCUGCAGCCAGCCUCUUGAUCGACAUUCGAGUUACAAUGGCAUUCAUUUCUGAGUUUCUGAGUCAAGCUUUCUUCUUGGAUAGCAAUUCGGACCAAGCCACUCAACAAGUUUCUGGCGGUCUUCAAGCAGCUC